UACAGAGGGGGCAAGCGUUGUUCGGAAUUACUGGGCGUAAAGGGCGCGUAGGUGGCCUUCUAAGUUGAACGUGAAAUCCCCGGGCUCAACCCGGGAACUGCGUCCGAUACUGGCAGGCUUGAAUUCGGGAGAGGGAUGUGGAAUUCCAGGUGUAGCGGUGAAAUGCGUAGAUAUCUGGAGGAACACCGGUGGCGAAGGCGGCAUCCUGGACCGAUAUUGACGCUGAUGCGCGAAAGCCAGGGGAGGCAAACGGG
rnacentral:rRNA from 1 species